CGGGGAGGGGCGGGCACGGUGCAGCGCCGCCUCCCGUUCGCCUCUGCGCCUGGCCCGGCGACUGCGGGCGCUGCGGUCCACUGGGUCCGCCUCUUCCCGGCAUGGGUUUCUGCCCAGCUCACCCGCUGUCAGCUGGGGUCCUGCUCUGGUGGGAGGAAGAGGCUCAGACGCUUCCCUGCCCUCUCGCCUCAACCACCUCGAGGCAGCGGCUCCCAGGAUGUGCACUUUGACGACUAAAGCUGAGCCGGCGCCGCCACGACCUUGGGCGGGUGGUCGGCCUCUGCCCUGAGCAGGAAGUAGAAAGUCUCAGCAGACCCUUCCUGAGGGCCGAGCAACAGUGUAGUGGCGUAUUCCACAUAGCAAACAGUUUUCUGAAGCUCAGAGGGACACCUUGUAUUGCUGGAUGAUAAAAACAGGAGCAAAGUGAUGAAGUGCUGACAAGGCAACAAUAGAACAUGAGAGAUUCACUGCUGUGUAGGAAGAGAUCUUCGGUGACCAUGUAGCCUGAAGCUCUCAUUUUGUCAUCGAGGGACACCAAAACUCAGAACAGCAGCAGCUCACGCUGCUGAUGCAACACAGGUGAAGAGCACCUUCCCCUCCCCCACCUGUGGGCUGAUUCCCACCACGUGGAUCCCAAGGCCAUCCCAGGAACUCUUUGGAGGGGAGAAGCCCAGUGGAAACUGUCAGGCCUCUGAGCACAAGCCAAGCCAUCGCAUCCCCUGUGACUUGCACGUAUAUGCCCAGAUGGCCUGAAGUAACUGAAGAAUCACAAAAGAAGUGAAAAGGCCCUGCCCCACCUUAACUGAUGACAUUCCACCAUUGUGAUUUGUUCCUGCCCCACCUUCACUGAGUGAUUAACCCUGUGAAUUUCCUUCUCCUGGCUCAGAAGCUCCCCCACUGAGCACCUUGUGACCCCCGCCCCUGCCCACCAGAGAACAACCCCCUUUGACUGUAAUUUUCCAUUACCUUCCCAAAUCCUAUAAAACGGCCCCACCCCUAUCUCCCUUCGCUGACUCUCUUUUCGGACUCAGCCCGCCUGCACCCAGGUGAAAUAAACAGCCAUGUUGCUCACA
rnacentral:lncRNA from 10 species